AUGUUCUUGAUACAAAAACCACAUAUUAAAAUGCACAUUAAAAAAAUAAUCUCAAGAAGAAAAAACAAUAUGGGCCAAAGUAUGUUACAAUGGUUUAUUCACAAACAAGCAGGUGCACUGAAUUAACACUUCUUUAGGGACAAACAUAUCCAGUUAGAGGAGCCUAACAACGAUAGCUAAUAUUAGCACUGCAGAUGUGUGUGGCCAUCAAUUCCCAUGAUGCUCAUCGAAGCUUGAGGAUAAAGCAAUUAACAAACACCUGCAGAGCUAAAGUUAGCUGUCAAUGUGCUAUAGCAUUAGUGUGGAUCACACAUAUAAUUAACCUGCUAGUGUUACAAUGUAAAAUGCAGAAUUCUUCACUUGCACAUCAUUAAGUCAAAACAAAAUAUGCCACAAGAUAUGGUGUGUAUUUUCAACCGCAAAUGUCAAAAUAUUGGUAAUUAAAACCCUAACAUAAAUAAACAUAGCAUUGCUUCUAACACAGAUCCUGCUUACUUGAACACAGUCUGUCCGCAAUAACGAGAGAUGGGCAGACAGUCUGACAUUCAGAGAGACUGAGAUGGACAGACUCAAAUGAAUCUCGUACCCAUCAAUUUGUUUUCCAUUUAAUAUCGAAUUUAGAAAAAACAAAAAAAAAAGAUGAAUAUUCUUUGUGAUAAAAAUCAAAGUAAACGUUAUCAGAAAAUAAUCAAACUAGAACCAGGCUUUAUGAAAAAUCAUAUGCUUAACGCUUUGCAGAGAAGUCCCAGCACACACUCUAACGCCCUUACAGAGUGAUAGGAUUGUUCAAACAAUAGAUCAAUGUGUCAGUUACCAUCUUCAAAGCUGCUAUUCUGACAGCAGGAAUGAAACCGCAUUGUGCUCAUGGGAUCCGAGACGUAACCUGGAAAAUGUGAGAGAACAUAUUGAGACAAACGUAAAAAUAAGAUUG